rnacentral:rRNA from 1 species
GACGAACCGUGCAAACGUUGUUCGGAAUCACUGGGCUUAAAGGGCGCGUAGGCGGCUUGCAUAGUCGGUGGUGAAAUCCUGCAGCUUAACUGUAGAAGUGCCUCCGAUACUAGCGAGCUCGAGGGAGGUGAGGGGUCUGCGGAACUUCUGGUGGAGCGGUGAAAUGCGUUGAUAUCAGAAGGAACGCCGGUGGCGAAAGCGGCGGACUGGACCUCUUCUGACGCUGGAGGCGCGAAAGCUAGGGGAGCAAACGGG